AGCAGUCGCCGCGGGAAUACAGAGGGUGCAAGCGUUAAUCGGAAUUACUGGGCGUAAAGCGCGCGUAGGUGGUUUGUUAAGUUGGAUGUGAAAUCCCCGGGCUCAACCUGGGAACUGCAUCCAAAACUGGCAAGCUAGAGUAUGGUAGAGGGUGGUGGAAUUUCCUGUGUAGCGGUGAAAUGCGUAGAUAUAGGAAGGAACACCAGUGGCGAAGGCGACCACCUGGACUGAUACUGACACUGAGGUGCGAAAGCGUGGGGAGCAAACAGGAUUAGAUACCCGCGUAGUCCCUGUCUCUUAUAC
rnacentral:rRNA from 1 species